GUCGGGGUGGCGAAAUUGGUAGACGCGCUACCUUGAGGAGGUAGUUCCCGUAAGGGAUUGGAGGUUCAAGUCCUCUCCCCGACACCA
rnacentral:tRNA from 2 species